CCAGUGGAGUCAUACUACAUUGGAUCUUCAGAAAGUAAAAAGAGUACAGAUGAGGAAAACUCUAACGAAAGAAAAGCCGACCUUGAGAAUGAAAACCAAACCUUGCAGUUGCAAAUAAAAGCCUUAUCGUCCAAACUCCAAGAGAACGAACAGAGAAAAUAUGACGAACAGGAAGUAUACUACAUUGGAUCUUCAGAAAGUAAAAAGAGUACAGAUGAGGAAAACUCUAACGAAAGAAAAGCCGACCUUGAGAAUGAAAACCAAACCUUGCAGUUGCAAAUAAAAGCCUUAUCGUCCAAACUCCAAGAGAACGAACAGAGAAAAUAUGACGAACAGGAAGUAUACUACAUUGGAUCUUCAGAAAGUAAAAAGAGUACAGAUGAGGAAAACUCUAACGAAAGAAAAGCCGACCUUGAGAAUGAAAACCAAACCUUGCAGUUGCAAAUAAAAGCCUUAUCGUCCAAACUCCAAGAGAACGAACAGAGAAAAUAUGACGAACAGGAAGUAUACUACAUUGGAUCUUCAGAAAGUAAAAAGA